rnacentral:rRNA from 1 species
UACAGAGGGUGCAAGCGUUAAUCGGAAUUACUGGGCGUAAAGCGUGCGUAGACGGUUAUGUAAGUCGGGUGUGAAAGCCCCGGGCUCAACCCGGGAAUGCCAUUCGAGACUGCAUAGCUAGGGUGCGGAAGAGGGAAGCGGAAUUUCCGGUGUAGCGGUGAAAUGCGUAGAUAUCGGAAGGAACACCAGUGGCGAAAGCGGCUUCCUGGUCCAGCACCGACGUUCAGGCACGAAAGCGUGGGGAGCAAACAGG